GCUCACGUGGUUUUGUUUACCGGCUGUCAAUGAAAUCUCGCGCUGUCUCGCGGUACCACGCGACGAAUGCUUGAGUGCUGAAACUCUGGUGUAUCUUGCACAAGAUUCAUUGAGAAUUCCCCGGUGAUAAAGAAUCUUGUGAACUCAAACUUUACAGUCUUACAAGUGUGACAUGUGCCGAAUAUCUGCCUCAGUCACAUGACCAGGCCCGGCAGGGAAGCGAUGGCACGACUGGCUGUUGGUACAAUGGGACCAUGACGUAAGCUGACACGCCCCCUCCAGCACACGUGGGACUGACAGACAAUUCAUUAUGAAUGUCAACACGGAUGACCCGGGCACUGUGCAAGGGUCGUCCACCAACACAGGUGUUGUGCUCAAAGACGCUACUCUUGAUAGCUACUCGGACGGAUCGUCGCAUAUCUUUUCCGAGUUUGUGGACAUGGAUGCUAUACGUCGCGACCUCGGCCAGUCAGCAUCAUCGUUUACCUCUGAUGACUUGGAAGAUGGGGAUCAGCUGUCAAUACUGUUUAAUUUGUACAAGUUGGGGGAGAAGAAACAACUAAAACAGUUGCUGCGGCAGUCGAUGUGGCCAGCGGACCACAUGAUCCGACAUUCGCUGUGGACGUCGCUGUGCAAGCACUUACUGAGAGCUGAUGGGGAUCUCUAUGAUGAAAUGGACAAAGAACUUUUUGGAGAUGACGUGACAGCAUUGGACAUCCCUCUGCCCGGGUUCGUCGACCAGGUCAACCUGACCUCGUACCAUCUUUCCCAUGAAGGGAUGCGCCUCAUCACCAAGAUCGUCGCCGUCAUCAACCACACCAACCCCGACGUCAGCUACAGCCCUGCCGCGUUCUCUGUGGCUAGUCUAUUUCUCCACUACAUGGGCCCCUCCGACGUCUACAACUGCAUCUACGCUCUACUUACAAGCAAAGACACUCGCUAUCUCACUCAGACAAGUAUCUCUCUCGAUGCAUCCAAACUCGUCCUGCGGGAUUUGACCAAGAAAUAUGCAAAAUCGGCUUAUGUUCACAUCGUAAGACAGAGCAGCAACACGGAGGCUGUGUUUGAGAACUGGUUGUGGUGGAUCUACAGGGACCUGCCCUUCUCUUACCUGGUGAAGAUAACAGACUGCUUCCUGGUUGAAGGUGUAAAGGUUUUGUACAGAGCGGUCCUAGCCGUCCUCAUACUGUACGCCAAAUACUCAGGUAAGCGAGCUGCCUCAAACGGAGAGCCCGUCAGCGUCAACAUCUCAAACAACAUCAGCCGAUUCUGUGAGAAGAUGCCAGUGGAUCUCACCAAAUUCUUGAAGAUUGCCUUUGGCAUACGUGGUUUGUCUCGGAAGGAAAUCAAACGUCUGGAGUUGAAACACGAGAUGUACAUAAACAGCAGAAUUCACAUCCAUUCUGCCAAGACCGACCUUAUGAUGAGACGGGCUUCCACCCACUCCAUUGGAGUACCAAUGUCAAGGUCAUUUAGUGGACCAAUCAUCAUGCAGCAUAUGAAAGGGUCAAGUGUUCUCACGCCCGAUAUGCCCUCCACUUCUCGGGGUAGGUCCAGGUCUCUCGGGAUUCACGUUUUCCCAAAUUUCAAAAGUAGCAUUAUCACUCAGGAAGAUUUGCACACCGUAUGGAGCUGGUUGCCCGCCCGGCUGGCAGUGUGUGUGCCGGAGCUGCUGUUCACGUCGGAUGAGCACGGCACCAGUCUACGAACUGUCUACAGCAAGAUUGAGUCCAGGCAACAGACACUCUUCUUUAUACGCAACACUGAGAAUGAGGUGUUUGGUGCCUUCUGUUCAGCUUCAUGGCAGCAGAGGAAGUCAAAGGAGAAGAAUCUCUCAUACUUUGGCACCGGCGAGACGUUCAUCUUCACACUGUACCCCAUGAAGUUAAAGUAUGAUUGGGUGGGACUCUUGUAUGAAGAUAUCCCCAACACAGCAAACAUGUUCCUGGCCGGUGACACCUCUAUCCUCACCAUUGGUGGCGGCCAAGGUGAAGCUAUCCAACUCGAUGAAAACCUGGUACAUUGUCGUACAGAAAAGUGUGACACCUUCGACAACGACCCGCUGUGUGAAAAGCAGGAUUUCACCUGUAAGGUGGUUGAGGUGUAUGGUUUCAAGUGAGCAUCACCAUGAUCACAGUGACAUGGCCUACUUUCUGUGUGUGUCUCAGGCUUCACAUGGAUCCUGUGAUGUCUCUCAGAAAUACAGACUUUUGAAAGGGGAUCAGCUGUGUUGACAGUGUGACUUUCAGUGAAAGCACAGACGUGUCUCAAUAACCAGGAGCCGACACACAAGUGUUGCAGUGGGAUACAGAUAUGUCGUGCAUGUUACCAUGGUUAUGGUCUCCUUGGAGACAGCCAAUAGAAUCAUGUUUCUCAUAGGGUUGGAGAUAAUCAAUGGGUUGGAGUGGGUCUUAGACAUAGAAUCAACCAAUGGCGUCAUGUUUGUCUUAGACAUAGAAAUGGUGUCGUGUGUGUCUUGGACAUAGAACUGGUGUCAUGUGUGUCUUAGACAUAGAACUGGUGUCAUGUGUGUCUUAGACAUAGAAUCAGCCAAUGCUGUCAUGUGUGUCUUGGACAUAGAACUGGUGUCAUGUGUGUCUUAGACAUAGAACUGGUGUCAUGUGUGUCUUAGACAUAGAAUCAGCCAAUAGCACCCUGUGUGUCUUAGACAUAGAAUUGACCAUUUUCGUCAUGUGUUGUGGACAGCCAAAGAAAGCAUGUUUAACCAAGAGACCAUGUGUCAUAGAAAUAGACUUUGACAGUGCCAGACAGAAUUAGGCAACAGGAUCAUGUCUCUAGAACUUACAUUUGGUAAUAAGGAACAGCCUUGGGACACAAUGAAUGGGACAUAGUGUGUGAUAGCAACCAUGUGUCUCAAACAUCCAGCCAGGCAGUGAGACAUCCAUCCGAUGGGAUCAUUUGUCUCAAACAUCCAGCCAGGCAGUGAGACAUCCAUCCGAUGGGAUCAUUUGUCUCAAACAUCCAACCAGGCAGUGAGACAUCCAUCCGAUGGGAUCAUUUGUCUCAAACAUCCAGCCAGGCAGUGAGACAUCCAUCCGAUGGGAUCAUUUGUCUCAAACAUCCAGCCAGCCAAUGAAUGACACAGAUAAUGAAACCAUAUGUCUGUUCCUAGAAGUGCUGUUCAUUGACAGCAGGACAUUAUGUGGGGUGACAAUCAGAGAGUGAGUCUUACACAACAAGAUGGUAGGGUCGAUGAUGAGGUCUUGAGUAGACAUCUAAUGAUGUAGCAAUCAAGCUCUCAAACAGGACUAAAGUUAAGCUGCCGGUGUGCAUCUCCGUGACAUGACCUGUCUACAAGCAAAACUAAAAGGUUUGAAAGGGAUGCAAAAGGACCAAAGUAUUAAACCUUUUAGACACAGAUUAAGCAAGUAAAUAAAUAAGCAGUAAAUUUCAUUACCAUCUGCUCUCUAAAUCUAUGUCUGUUUAAUUGUUGGAAUGUCUGCAAAUAUAAACAGCUGGGAUAUGAAAUAUGCCUUGGCAGAGAUGAAAGGGUAAAGAAGCUGGUUGGUCUGUGAUGUCAGUUUGGCUGUGGUUGCACUAGGUGUUGUCAGUUGUCGGUGUGAGGAUGUAGACAGUAGCUAGGCGUUGUGGAUGUUGUGACCUAGCCAUAUGAUGGUGCUUCUGGCUGUAGCUGCUUGUGGUAGUUACAGAGGAUAGGGUGGAGAGACAGUGUUGGGGAAAGUGGAGUUAUAUGAUACAUAUUGCGAUUAAAGGGUAGCAUCUUUGAGAGUGAUAUACAAUACUUGUGCCCUAUUCCCCACCACACAGGUUGCAAUGAUUUCACUUUGUAAUACACCUACACUCUUCUCAUGUCUCAAUGUUAAAAUUACUGUCGGAAAUGAUGUGUUUAGAUUCAAGACAUGAAUGAAUAUCAAAGGCAAGAUGAUGUGUUAAUUUUCCUGCUUUAUAACAAGCUUGGCAUAAUUAUCACAUGAUGUACUGCAAGAGUGGUAUGGUAUGACAUAUAAAUAUGAUAUAUGAUAUGAUGUGAUAUAUGAAAUGAUAUAUAUGAUAUGAUAUAUAUGUGACUAUAUGAUACAAGACUAGCGAUGCAACAUUGAUUGUGAUGAAAGAUAUUGUCAAGUUGAAUUCUGUAGAGCAUGAGAUUUGCUUGGAAGCCCAGUGGUCUUUGAGCUGCAAUCGCUGUGCAGAGUUGUGUACCUUUGUCGAGCCAGGAUCUGCUGGUUUAGGGUUCAAGUCCCAGAUUCUCCCUGAUCAUGAUCAUUGUGGUUUUCAUCAAAGCGGUAACCGACAUCUACGACAUCAAACGCAGUGAUGUGACUGAAAUAUGGGUCUGAGGAGUGUAAACUGAACUGAUUGUUUCACUGUAGAGCGUGAUAUUAGUAACUAGGAAUCUCUUCAAUGUAAAUUAAGAUAAUUUAGAAUGGCUGCUAUCACUGUACAAUCCUAGUAAGUCGGGGGUAUGGUGUAUACCAUGUAGACAAUACUUGGUGGCUACACCCCGAUACACACAGAUGUGGUUGUACCUGCAGCAGAAUCCCAAGUGGCUGUGACGAUUUCAUACUCAUAUUUGUAGCAGAGGGAGGAUUUUGAAAAAGGCAAUGGAACAAACGUGAGGUGAAGUGAACAAAAACAUAGGUUAUCAUAUUAGGUGUCUGAAGAAAGAGGGGGGCAGACGCUCUCCCUCCCUUCUGGAUCGGCCAGUGUGUAAUUUUUUAUAGGGAUUCAUAUUAUCAGUAAUCGGUUAGGCGUGUCGUGCCAGUAUUUGGUGUAGUAGAUAGUCACUUAAUGUAAGUGAUAGCUUUGAGACAAUGUCACACGUGGGGCCUGGCAUUAGGUGUCAUUACGGAUUCGCCAACUUUAAAAUGGAAAUUUGUGUAAAAAAAUAUACCGUAUUCGACGUAAUAAGCGCCCACGGCGACAUUUGCUAAGAAAUUGGUUUGUGAACAAUGCCAAUUAGCACCCGAUUGAUCAAUGUACACAACACUUAUUUAUUCGCGUAUAAUACGCACUCGUGUGUUAUAUGCACCCUUAAUUAUGGGCAUUAAAUUCUGGAAAAAUAUAUCUGUCGUACAUAAACAUUUCAGGCUGUCAGCAUAAACCACGAAAUGUAUCUUUCAACUCUGUUUUUUUUCACCAAAAUAACAUUUUGAUAAGAGCCCCCUAUUUCUAAUUUUGAGAGCGCCCUGGGCGCUUAUUACGUCAAAUACGGUAAUCAGUAUUAUAAUUAUUAAUUUUCAUAUCGACAGUAAAACAUAUGUCAAAAUCCUUACACUGGGUUUUAUAUGUAGGGGCACAUAUUGCUUAGGAAAACAGGGUUCUUGUGUGCAAUGAAUAAUACUCUCAAUUGUAAACUUGUUGAAGGUUUGUGUUGCAUUGUUAUGUGAAGACUUUGUGUAAUAUAUUCUGUUUCUAUUUUCCUAUCAGACUAGUAGCGUAACGUGUGUAAUAUAUUUUUGUUCAGGUAUGACAAAUCGAUUGUUUUCUUGUUCCUCUAGGACUUUCAAGCUACCCUCUUUAAGACACAGAUACAAAAAACACGUGUUUUUUAAGACUCAGUUAAGUGUAAAUACACAGCUCCUUUGGUAGGAACUCUGUAGGACAACAUAUGCAAAUACAAAUAGAGUAUGGCCAAACCCAGGAACCACAAAAGAUCAAGUCUUUGCCAGGUUAUUAGAAGUAACAAGAGACUAAAUAAAUCUUCACAAGAGUUUAGGAACUGUCUUUAGGAACUGUUUGAAUCAGCUUUUGGUUUUGUCGUCAGAGGUGUGUUUUGUUUUAAUGUGGUUGGAUUGUUGAAAUAAUGUGCAAUUGUCUCUUAGUUUUCAGCACUUUAUGAUGUAAUGGUGUGUAAUGAAUAUGGUAAGGUUUUUUUAUGAGUAGAGCAUUGAAUACAACAAAUACGGUGCUUUCUUGUUUUUUAUGUGCAAUAUCUAAAACAACAAUUUCUUGUUAAGUUGAAAGAAUUUACAUUAAUUUUAAUAACAAUGAAAUAGUCCUAAAAAUGUUUUGGAAAGAUUUUGUUCAUACAAAUUGCGAAUUGUCAAAACAAGAACCAAAUGACAUUAUCUUUUUAGAAAUUUCCUUACAGUGGAAAAAAUAGAGAAAACAUAAAUCAAUAUGUGUAAAUUUACCAUUACUUUGUAAAACUUAUGUCUGAUGUACGUGUUUAAUUUUCAAGCGUUCGUUGUAUGUUAUCAAUACACAUAAUGACAUUAUGAAAUGUGUUCCUCGAUGAGCAGAGAUCUGACAUGUAACGGUGGUUACCAAACUGAUAUUACGUUGAUGUUAUGUUCUGUUUGAAAUUUAUUUGAUUCAAUGAAAUUAAGUGAAGAUGUGUUACCAUGACAACUUUCAUCCAUGAUGUGUUACCAUGGUAACUGCAAAGUAUUGACUUUCAAGCAGGGCUGGGACGAGUGUCUAUUUAUUACUCGUCUUAGUCUUGAUUACAACAAAGAUUUACCCCCGCCGACCUAUUCCUUACCCAUUGUAAUAAAUGACGACACAUAGGAGGAAAGCAACAAUCAAAACACAAAUGAUGAAAUGACAGAGCACUCUGUAUCGCCCGUCUUGUUAAGGUGAGAAACAUACCCUUGGAAGCACUCUCACUCACUCACUCACUCACUCACUCACUCACUCACUCACUCACUCACUCCUUUGAAGACAGGAGGCAUAAUAAAACAUUUUGGGUUGACUGUAUUAUUAUUAUUAUUAUUAUUAUUAUAAAGUGAAAAAUACAAACACAAUGAUGGUAAAUAUAUUCAGAUUUCUAUUAAAUGAAGAUUUUUUUUAUGUUUUCAACUCUUAUUUGUACUUUUCUAAAAUAUAAGGUAGGGCUAAAUAUACAAUACGAAAAUACACUGCUCUGGCCUUGGUAAUAGCAGGAGCAUGAUGAGUGAACAGACACGGAACUGAGAUACGGAACUGAGAUACGGAACUGAGACAUGGAACUGAGAUACGAUACAACAGAUGAAAAAGAGGCUGCUGGAGAUUUAGAAGAAUAGUGUUGUUAAUAUUGUCCUUGGAGUUACGAAAGCUGUAGAAAUAUUCUUGCUUUGUGUAAUGGAGCCUGGCACUCAUUAUUGGGAUCAUAUAUUUAUUUGUAUCAUGGUGAUAAGAAAUCACAGUCACCUUUUCAUACGUUGCCAUUUUUCAUAGAUUGUUAAUAUACCCCAUCAUUCCUUCAUCAUCCGGCGUGAUAUCAGUCGUAUUGUCAUACGCCCAUCUUUGAGCCAGCCAAUAACCUUAAUUUGAAUUUUGUAUGUUUAUUUGUGUAAAUAUGUAUAUAUGUUCAGUUGUACAUUGAUUUCUUUGAAACUGCGUGUGACUAUCUUUAUCCAAGUUUGUUUCUAAACCUUGAGUUCAGUUGAGAGUUUAGUUGCAGUUCUAGGGUUGAGAGUGAAACUUGUUUAUUCUGAGAAACAUCCUGAUUAACACAGCAGACAACUAUUGUUGCCGAUAUUAUUGCCCAACCUUGGAUAUUACAUGGUUUCACUGAUGACGGUUCUUCAGGAAGUUAAAUAUUGUUUCACUUUAUUUUUAAUAUCCAUUUAAAGUUCUAUGAUCUACUUCCAAGACCUCAUGACCAUCAAAAUUAUAUAAUAUCCUCGGUACUUUGAGAUUGGCACCAAUUUUAAGACACAGUGCCAAUAAGGAUUCUCCUGUGACAGUUGUUACAGUGACGUUGAGACCUUUGUAAGUCUGGGAGUUGCAGUAAUCGUAAGCUACGAUCACCUUGACAGAGUUAUUCCAUGAACCGAUCUUAUAAGUACAACUGUCUAGGUCCAGUGUGGUAGUAGAGGUAAUCGUAAGCUACGAUCACCCUGACAGAGUUAUUCCAUGAACCGAUCUUAGAACUACGCCUGUCCAGGUCCAGUGUGGUAGUAGAGGUAAUCGUAAGCUACGAUCACCUUGACAGAGUUAUUCCAUGAACCGAUCUUAGAACUACGCCUGUCUAGGUCCAGUGUGGUAGUAGAGGUAAUCGUAAGCUACGAUCACCUUGACAGAGUUAUUCCAUGAACCGAUCUUAGAACUAUGACUGUCUAGGUCCAGUGUGGUAGUAGAGGUAAUCGUAAGCUACGAUCACCUUGACAGAGUUAUUCCAUGAACCGAUCUUAGAACUACGACUGUCUAGGUCCAGUGUGGUAGUAGAGGUAAUCGUAAGCUACGAUCACCUUGACAGAGUUAUUCCAUGAACCGAUCUUAGAACUACGACUGUCUAGGUCCAGUGUGGUAGUAGAGGUAAUUGUAAGCUACGAUCACCUUGACAGAGUUAUUCCAUGAACCGAUCUUAGAACUACGACUGUCUAGGUCCAGUGUGGUAGUAGAGGUAAUCGUAAGCUACGAUCACCCUGACAGAGCACUGGGCUAUUCCAUGAAUUAAUCAGAGCACGGUCUUGGAGUAGAGGUAAUCGUAAGCUACGAUCACCUUGACAGAGCACUGGGCUAUUCCAUGAACCGAUCUUAGAACUAUGACUGUCAAGGUCACGGUCUGGGAGUAGAGGUAAUCGUAAGCUACGAUUAACGUGACAGAGCACUGGGCUUUUCCAUGAAGUAAUCGUAGCACUUGGAUGAUUGUACUCAAACAUGUACACAGACCUACGACAAUCUUAGCGCUAAGAUCAUGGACCCUGGUCUUGUGUCUUUGAUGGAAGCAGGAUGUGCUCCACACAGCAUUCCAUUACUGUGGGUCUCGAUAUGUCUCAUCACUGCAACGUUUACGUUGUAUUUCUGUUAAAUGGCAACUCAAGUAUUGUAUGUUCUUAUGUGGGUCGAUAUGUAUACCCUUGACAGGGUACAUUUUGUAUGAAUUCCAAUACCAUUUUAACCUCUUUUUUUGCUGUGUGAUUUCAAGAAAGUUUGUAACUUCAGGUUCGUAGUCCAUUGUUUCUGAUUUCUUCAGAAAUAUGAAUUAAGUAAUAUCCUUCCCAAGUAAGAGGUGUGACCUAGUUAGUGUUUGUACAAAUGAAUAUAGUGCUGUGCCCUCUCCUUUGUCAUAAUCCCUGUUUGCUUACACGAGAAUCCUUCAUUUUGAUAUGUUUAUAAGUGUCAGUGUUGUUUUAGAAAUAUUUUUUAGGUCUUCAGCAACCCAUGCUUGCUGUAAAAGGCGACUAUGCUUGUUGAGGAGACGGGUGGUCAGGCUCGCUGACUUGGUUGAUACAUGUCGUUUCCCAAUUGCGUGGAUCAAUGCUCAUGAUGUCAAUCACUGGAUUGUCUGGCCCAGACUCAAAUAUUUACAGACCGCUGUCAUAUAGGUGGCAUUUGGGUAGCUUAGUGGUUGAAGCGUUAGCCAGCACGCUUUAGUCCUGGGUUUGAUUCCGACAUGGGUAAAAUUUAUGUAGUUCCAAUUUUGGCGCUCUCUCUGUGAUAUGGCAGCAAUUUUGGUAAAAGCGGUGAUAGACCCUACUCUCAUUUCCAAAUGGAAGAUUGUGGUGGCACCAGCUGAUUGUAAUUGAAGGUAUGAGAUCACACUAUGAAUGUACCUGCACAUAUACCUAUUACCAAUACCGUAAUCAGUGUAAAUAGCUGCACAGAGGAAUGGUUGGCAUCAAAACUAAAACUUACCAAACAGUCCCUUCAUACUAAUCAGUUAUUCUUAAAGAAGGUUUUAUGUCAAUGAUAUGUGUGACAUCUCUGAUGUACCACGCUUUCCUACAUGGGAAAUAAUUACAAAAAUAUCUGAUAAUAACCAUGGAUUGAAGUCCAGUUGCAAUAUGUAUCACAUAUGUUACUGACAAUAUUGAUGUUGGCACCUGUCCUGGGAACUCGUAUCUACCUUGUAUUUAAUAUGCCAGAUGUAUUAUUAGCUGUGAUUAUAUGGUUAACAUAAUGCUUCAAUAGAUGCAGCUCCUGGUACCUGCAAUAUGCCAGGAUCUAUUUAAGGUGAUAUGUAUAGUACACUGUGAACUGCCUGUGCACAUGUCGUAUUCAGAGCCCUCAGUGUGGGCGUGUUGCUCUACCUGUUCGGUCAGUGUUUAGCCCCCAAACAAUAAAAUGAAAGAAGUA